CGCGAGUCAUUGGGUUGAUACUAAACCUAAAGGCGCAAUGAAAGUGAAGGUCCCGCCUUGUGCGGACCGAGGGAAGAUGGGGCGUGCUCCUGCGCGACCCUCGCAUUCCCGGGGCGUCUCGUUCUCAUUGCGAGUUGAGGCGCACCCAGAGCGUACACGUUGGGACCCGAAAGAUGGUGAACUAUGCCUGGCCAGGACGAAGUCAGGGGAAACCCUGAUGGAGGUCCGUAGCGAUUCUGACGUGCAAAUCGAUCGUCGGAGCUGGGUAUAGGGGCGAAAGACUAAUCGAACCAUCUAGUAGCUGGUUCCCUCCGAAGUUUCCCUCAGGAUAGCUGGUGCUCGAACGAGUCUCAUCCGGUCAAGCGAAUGAUUAGAGGCCUUGGGGCCGAAACGACCUCAACCUAUUCUCAAACUUUAAAUGGGUGAGAUCUCCGGCUUGCUUAAAGCACUGAAGCCGUGAGACCUUUUUGGAUCGGAGUGCCAAGUGGGCCACUUUUGGUAAGCAGAACUGGCGCUGUGGGAUGAACCAAACGCAGAGUUAAGGCGCCCGAAUAGACGCUCAUGGGAAACCAUGAAAGGCGUUGGUUGCUUAAGACAGCAGGACGGUGGCCAUGGAAGUCGGAAUCCGCUAAGGAGUGUGUAACAACUCACCUGCCGAAGCAACUAGCCCUGAAAAUGGAUGGCGCUGAAGCGUCUUGCCUAUACUCUGCCGUCAGCACGGCAAUGAGGGGUGCGCGGAUCGCUUCGGCGUUCCCGCCCCGUGAGGCCCUGACGAGUAGGAGGGUCGCGGCGGUGAGCGCAGAAGGGUCUAGGCGUGAGCCUGCCUGGAGCCGCCGUCGGUGCAGAUCUUGGUGGUAGUAGCAAAUACUCCAGCGAGGCCCUGGAGGACUGACGUGGAGAAGGGUUUCGUGUGAACAGCCGUUGCACACGAGUCAGUCGAUCCUAAGCCCUAGGAGAAAUCCGAUGUCGAUGGGGUCCGGUACUUUAAGUUAGGACCCCAUGGGGCGAAAGGGAAUCCGGUUCCUAUUCCGGAACCCGGCAGCGGAACCGUAAUAAGUCGGGCCCCUCGCAAGAGAAGCUCGUCGGGGUAACCCAAAAGGACCCGGAGACGCCGUCGGGAGAUCGGGGAAGAGUUUUCUUUUCUGCAUGAGCGUUCGAGUUCCCUGGAAUCCUCUAGCAGGGAGAUAGGGUUUGGAACGCGAAGAGCACCGCAGUUGCGGCGGUGUCCCGAUCUUCCCCUCGGACCUUG
rnacentral:rRNA from 1 species